rnacentral:rRNA from 1 species
GAUGAACGCUGGCGGCGUGCCUAAUACAUGCAAGUCGAGCGAACAGAUAAGGAGCUUGCUCCUUUGACGUUAGCGGCGGACGGGUGAGUAACACGUGGGUAACCUACCUAUAAGACUGGGAUAACUUCGGGAAACCGGAGCUAAUACCGGAUAACAUUUGGAACCGCAUGGUUCUAAAGUGAAAGAUGGUUUUGCUAUCACUUAUAGAUGGACCCGCGCCGUAUUAGCUAGUUGGUAAGGUAACGGCUUACCAAGGCGACGAUACGUAGCCGACCUGAGAGGGUGAUCGGCCACACUGGAACUGAGACACGGUCCAGACUCCUACGGGAGGCAGCAGUGGGGAAUCUUCCGCAAUGGGCGAAAGCCUGACGGAGCAACGCCGCGUGAGUGAUGAAGGGUUUCGGCUCGUAAAACUCUGUUAUUAGGGAAGAACAAAUGUGUAAGUAACUGUGCACGUCUUGACGGUACCUAAUCAGAAAGCCACGGCUAACUACGUG